rnacentral:rRNA from 1 species
GCAGUCCAAGAAUAUUAGUCAAUGCUCGCAAGAGUGAACGAGCUAACUGAAAGAAUAUAUAAUCUAAAGUUAGGAAUCUUAUAAUUUUUAUUAUAAGUUUAAAGACGAAUCUAACUAACAGUGUCGUCCAAAUUCUGGUGCCAGAAGACUCGGUAAUACCAGAGACGCGAACGUUAAUCAUCUUGAAUGGGCAUAAAGGGUUUGUAGGCGGCUUAUUUAUUAAUAGGCUAGAAUCUUAUAGAGGUUAAUAAAAUACUUAGAGGAGGGCUGAUAUCCUUAGAUCCUAAGUGGAAUCCUAAUUGCGAAGGCCAUUUUCCACUACAGAUUGACGCUGAUACACGAAGGUUAGGAUAGGAACUAGGAUUAGAGACCCUAUUACCCCUAACUGUAAACGAUGAAUGGAAGAUAUUUACAACUGUAAGUGUCGAAGUGAAUACGAUAACCAUUCCGCCUUGCCAGUAUACUUGCAAAAGUGAAAACAAAAAAAUUAGUCGGUCCUAAAGCAAACGAAGUGAAGCAUGUUAUUUAAUUC